rnacentral:rRNA from 1 species
ACGGGAGGCAGCAGUGGGGAAUAUUGGACAAUGGGGGAAACCCUGAUCCAGCGACGCCGCGUGAGUGAAGAAGUAUUUCGGUAUGUAAAGCUCUAUCAGCAGGGAAGAUAAUGACGGUACCUGACUAAGAAGCCCCGGCUAACUACGUGCCAGCAGCCGCGGUAAUACGUAGGGGGCAAGCGUUAUCCGGAUUUACUGGGUGUAAAGGGCGCGUAGGCGGGAUGACAAGUCAGAUGUGAAAUCCAUGGGCUCAACCCAUGAACUGCAUUUGAAACUGCCAUUCUUGAGUAUCGGAGAGGCAAGCGGAAUUCCUAGUGUAGCGGUGAAAUGCGUAGAUAUUAGGAGGAACACCAGUGGCGAAGGCGGCUUGCUGGACGAAAACUGACGCUGAGGCGCGAAAGCGUGGGGAGCAAACAGGAUUAGAUACCCUGGUA